rnacentral:rRNA from 1 species
GAAAGGCCAAUCAAACCGGGAGAUAGCUGGUUCUCCCCGAAAGCUAUUUAGGUAGCGCCUCGUGAAUUCAUCUCCGGGGGUAGAGCACUGUUUCGGCAAGGGGGUCAUCCCGACUUACCAACCCGAUGCAAACUGCGAAUACCGGAGAAUGUUAUCGCGGGAGACACACGGCGGGUGCUAACGUCCGUCGUGAAGAGGGAAACAACCCAGACCGCCAGCUAAGGUCCCAAAGUCAUGGUUAAGUGGGAAACGAUGUGGGAAGGCCCAGACAGCCAGGAUGUUGGCUUAGAAGCAGCCAUCAUUUAAAGAAAGCGUAAUAGCUCACUGGUCGAGUCGGCCUGCGCGGAAGAUGUAACGGGGCUAAACCAUGCACCGAAGCUGCGGCAGCGACGCUUAUGCGUUGUUGGGUAGGGGAGCGUUCUGUAAGCCUGUGAAGGUGUGCUGUGAGGCAUGCUGGAGGUAUCAGAAGUGCGAAUGCUGACAUAAGUAACGAUAAAGCGGGUGAAAAGCCCGCUCGCCGGAAGACCAAGGGUUCCUGUCCAACGUUAAUCGGGGCAGGGUGAGUCGACCCCUAAGGCGAGGCCGAAAGGCGUAGUCGAUGGGAAACAGGUUAAUAUUCCUGUACUUGGUGUUACUGCGAAGGGGGGACGGAGAAGGCUAUGUUGGCCGGGCGACGGUUGUCCCGGUUUAAGCGUGUAGGCUGGUUUUCCAGGCAAAUCCGGAAAAUCAAGGCUGAGGCGUGAUGACGAGGCACUACGGUGCUGAAGCAACAAAUGCCCUGCUUCCAGGAAAAGCCUCUAAGCAUCAGGUAACAUCAAAUCGUACCCCAAACCGACACAGGUGGUCAGGUAGAGAAUACCAAGGCGCUUGAGAGAACUCGGGUGAAGGAACUAGGCAAAAUGGUGCCGUAACUUCGGGAGAAGGCACGCUGAUAUGUAGGUGAAGUCCCUCGCGGAUGGAGCUGAAAUCAGUCGAAGAUACCAGCUGGCUGCAACUGUUUAUUAAAAACACAGCACUGUGCAAACACGAAAGUGGACGUAUACGGUGUGACGCCUGCCCGGUGCCGGAAGGUUAAUUGAUGGGGUUAGCGCAAGCGAAGCUCUUGAUCGAAGCCCCGGUAAACGGCGGCCGUAACUAUAACGGUCCUAAGGUAGCGAAAUUCCUUGUCGGGUAAGUUCCGACCUGCACGAAUGGCGUAAUGAUGGCCAGGCUGUCUCCACCCGAGACUCAGUGAAAUUGAACUCGCUGUGAAGAUGCAGUGUACCCGCGGCAAGACGGAAAGACCCCGUGAACCUUUACUAUAGCUUGACACUGAACAUUGAGCCUUGAUGUGUAGGAUAGGUGGGAGGCUUGGAAGUGUGGACGCCAGUCUGCAUGGAGCCGACCUUGAAAUACCACCCUUUAAUGUUUGAUGUUCUAACGUUGACCCGUAAUCCGGGUUGCGGACAGUGUCUGGUGGGUAGUUUGACUGGGGCGGUCUCCUCCUAAAGAGUAACGGAGGAGCACGAAGGUUGGCUAAUCCUGGUCGGACAUCAGGAGGUUAGUGCAAUGGCAUAAGCCAGCUUGACUGCGAGCGUGACGGCGCGAGCAGGUGCGAAAGCAGGUCAUAGUGAUCCGGUGGUUCUGAAUGGAAGGGCCAUCGCUCAACGGAUAAAAGGUACUCCGGGGAUAACAGGCUGAUACCGCCCAAGAGUUCAUAUCGACGGCGGUGUUUGGCACCUCGAUGUCGGCUCAUCACAUCCUGGGGCUGAAGUAGGUCCCAAGGGUAUGGCUGUUCGCCAUUUAAAGUGGUACGCGAGCUGGGUUUAGAACGUCGUGAGACAGUUCGGUCCCUAUCUGCCGUGGGCGCUGGAGAACUGAGGGGGGCUGCUCCUAGUACGAGAGGACCGGAGUGGACGCAUCACUGGUGUUCGGGUUGUCAUGCCAAUGGCACUGCCCGGUAGCUAAAUGCGGAAGAGAUAAGUGCUGAAAGCAUCUAAGCACGAAACUUGCCCCGAGAUGAGUUCUCCCUGAC